AUUGAACGCUGGCGGAAUGCUUUACACAUGCAAGUCGAACGGCAGCACGGACUUCGGUCUGGUGGCGAGUGGCGAACGGGUGAGUAAUGUAUCGGAACGUGCCCAGUCGUGGGGGAUAACGUAGUGAAAAUUAUGCUAAUACCGCAUACGAUCUAUGGAUGAAAGCGGGGGAUCGCAGGACCUCGCGCGAUUGGAGCGGCCGAUAUCAGAUUAGGUAGUUGGUGGGGUAAAGGCCCACCAAGCCAACGAUCUGUAGCUGGUCUGAGAGGACGACCAGCCACACUGGAACUGAGACACGGUCCAGACUCCUACGGGAGGCAGCAGUGGGGAAUUUUGGACAAUGGGCGAAAGCCUGAUCCAGCCAUUCCGCGUGCAGGAUGAAGGCCCUCGGGUUGUAAACUGCUUUUGUACAGAACGAAAAGGUUUCUACUAAUACUAGGAGCUCAUGACGGUACUGUAAGAAUAAGCACCGGCUAACUACGUGCCAGCAGCCGCAGUAA
rnacentral:rRNA from 1 species